GACGAACGCUGGCGGCGUGCCUAAUACAUGCAAGUCGAGCGAAUCACUGGGAGCUUGCUCCCGGUGGUUAGCGGCGGACGGGUGAGUAACACGUGGGCAACCUGCCUGUAAGACUGGGAUAACACCGGGAAACCGGUGCUAAUACCGGAUAAUCCUUUUCCUCUCAUGAGGAAAAGCUGAAAGUCGGUUUCGGCUGACACUUACAGAUGGGCCCGCGGUGCAUUAGCUAGUUGGUGAGGUAACGGCUCACCAAGGCGACGGUGCGUAGCCGACCUGAGGGGGUGAUCGGCCACCCUGGGACUGAGACACGGCCCAGACUCCUACGGGAGGCAGGAGUAGGGAAUCUUCCACAAUGGACGAAAGUCUGAUGGAGCAACGCCGCGUGAGCGAUGAAGGCCUUCGGGUCGUAAAGCCCUGUUGUUAGGGAAGAACAAGUACCGGAGUAACUGCCGGUACCUUGACGGUACCUAACCAGAAAGCCACGGCUAACUACGUGCCAGCAGCCGCGGUAAUAC
rnacentral:rRNA from 1 species